AUUGAACGCUGGCGGCAUGCCUAACACAUGCAAGUCGAGCGGAUGAAGGGAGCUUUCUCCUGGAUUCAGCGUCGGACGGGGGAGUAAUGCCUAUGAAUCUGCCGCGUAUUAGGGGAUAACGUCCUGAGACGAGCGCUAAUACUGCAUACUUCCUGAUGCAGAAGGUUGGGGGGCGUCGGACCUCACGCUAGCAGAUGAACCUAGGUGGGGUUAGCUAGCUUGUGGGGUGAAUGCCUACCAAGGCGACGAUCCGUAACUGGUCGGACAGGAUGAUCAGUCACACUGGAAGUGAGACGCGGACAAGAGUACUACGAGAGGCAGCAGUGGGGAACAUUGGACAAUGGGCGAAAGUAUGAUACAGCCAUGGCGAGUGUGUGGAAAAGGUCUCCGGAGUGUAAAGACCGUUAAGUUGGGAGGAAGCGCAGUAAGUUAAGACGUUGCUGUUUUGACGGUAAUAAGAGAAUAAGCACCGGCUAACUACGUG
rnacentral:rRNA from 1 species